rnacentral:rRNA from 1 species
GAACGCGAAGAACCUUACCUAAGCUUGACAUCCUUUUGACCGAUGCCUAAUCGCAUCUUUCCCUUCGGGGACAGAAGUGACAGGUGGUGCAUGGUUGUCGUCAGCUCGUGUCGUGAGAUGUUGGGUUAAGUCCCGCAACGAGCGCAACCCUUGCCUUUAGUUGCCAGCAUUAAGUUGGGCACUCUAGAGGGACUGCCAGGGAUAACCUGGAGGAAGGUGGGGAUGACGUCAAAUCAUCAUGCCCCUUAUGCUUAGGGCUACACACGUGCUACAAUGGGUGGUACAGAGGGCAGCCAAGUCGUGAGGCGGAGCUAAUCCCUUAAAGCCAUUCUCAGUUCGGAUUGUAGGCUGAAACUCGCCUACAUGAAGCUGGAGUUACUAGUAAUCGCAGAUCAGAAUGCUGCGGUGAAUGCGUUCCCGGGUCUUGUACACACCGA